rnacentral:rRNA from 1 species
GGGAAACUUACCAAGGCCAAACAGAGGUGGGAUUGACAGAUUGAGAGCUCUUUCUUGAUUCUUUGGGUGGUGGUGCAUGGCCGUUCUUAGUUGGUGGAGUGAUUUGUCGGCUUAAUUUGACUCAACGCGGGAAAUCUCACCAGGCCCGGCUACUGGAAGGAUUGACAGAUUGAUAUUGAUAUUGAGCAAUAA